rnacentral:rRNA from 1 species
CCAAGCGGUGGAGCAUGUGGUUUAAUUCGACGCAACGCGCAGAACCUUACCAGCCCUUGACAUGCCGGGGACGGACUCCAGAGAUGGAGUUCUCCCUUUCGGCUGGACCGCAGACGGGCGGUGUGUGGGUGUCCUCCUCUCGUGGCGAGAUAUGGUGGGUUAACCCCCACCACGCGCGCCCCCCCCCCCCUUUUUUGCUACCUUUUCUUGUGAACUCUCUAAAGACAGUGCCGGAGAUACCCCGCGAAGAGGGGGGGGAUGACCUCAACUCCUCGUGGCCCUUACGGGGUGGGCUACACACGUGCUACAGUGGGGGAGACAGUGGGAAACGAAGACGCGCCUCCUAACAUAUCUCAAAAAAA